rnacentral:rRNA from 1 species
GAUGAACGCUGACAGAAUGCUUAACACAUGCAAGUCGAUGGGGAAGUGGUGCUUGCACCAUGGCAACCAUGGCGGACGGGUGAGUAACGCGUAAGGGACUUACCUGCAGGACUGGGAUAACAGGGGGAAACUCCUGACAAGACCGGAUAAUGUCAUGGAGCUGCAUGGCUUUAUGAUGAAAGGAGACGCCUGCGGAGAGCCUUGCGUCCUAUUAGCUAGUUGGUGAGGUAAUGGCUCACCAAGGCGAAGAUAGGUAGCCGGCCUGAGAGGGUGGACGGCCACAAGGGGACUGAGAUACGGCCCUUACUCCUACGGGAGGCAGCAGUGGGGAAUAGUGGACAAUGGGGGCAACCCUGAUCCAGCAACUCUGUGUGCACGAAGAAGGUUUUCGGAUUGUAAAGUGCUUUCAGCAGGGAAGAAGUAAGUGACGGUACCUGCAGAAGAAGCGACGGCUAAAUACGUG